GAGAGAUAAGUACUAGUUGGUUUGUACUAUUAAUUUGAAGUUAAAAAGUGGUGGUUCAAGUCCGUCAUCUCUUG
rnacentral:tRNA from 1 species